rnacentral:rRNA from 1 species
GCCAGAGGGUGCAAACGUUGCUCGGAAUUACUGGGCGUAAAGCGCGUGUAGGCGGACCCGCAAGUCGGACGUGAAAUCCCUGAGCUCAACUCAGGAACUGCAUCCGAAACUGCGGGUCUGGAGUGGUGGAGAGGGAAGCAGAAUUCCUGGUGUAGAGGUGAAAUGCGCAGAUAUCAGGAGGAACACCAAUGGCGAAGGCAGCACUCUGGGACGGUACUGACGCUGAGACGCGAAAGCGUGGGGAGCAAACAGG